rfam:Schistosoma mattheei strain Denwood, Zambia genome assembly, scaffold: SMTD_scaffold0002270
AUCCACAUGACGAGUUCCACAUAGAACGAAACACUCGUCCUGAAU